GCAGUCGUGCGGCAGCAGGUCCUUCGGGAUGCUGGCGAGCGGCGAAAGGGAGAGUAACGCGUGGGUAACCUACCCUUGGGUCUGGGAUAGCGACGGGAAACUGUCGGUAAUACCGGAUAACGUCUCCGGACCAAAGGUGUGAUUCCGCCUGGGGAUGGGCCCGCGUCCUAUUAGCUUGUUGGUGGGGUAAUGGCUCACCAAGGCCGCGAUGGGUACCGGGUGUGAGAGCAUGGCCCGGCUCACUGGGACUGAGACACUGCCCAGACACCUACGGGUGGCUGCAGUCGAGAAUCUUCGGCAAUGGGCGCAAGCCUGACCGAGCGACGCCGCGUGCGGGAUGAAGGCCCUCGGGUUGUAAACCGCUGUCGGAGGGGAGGAAAUGCAAUCGGGUUCUCUCGGUUGUUUGACCUAUCCUCAAAGGAAGUACGGGCUAAGUUCGUGCCAGCAGCCGCGGUAACACGAACCGUACGAACGUUAUUCGGAAUCACUGGGCUUAAAGAGUGCGUAGGCGGCCUGGAAAGUUGGGUGUGAAAUCCCUCGGCUCAACCGAGGAACUGCGCUCAAUACUGCCAGGCUUGAGGGAGAUAGAGGCGAGCGGAACUGAUGGUGGAGCGGUGAAAUGCGUUGAUAUCAUCAGGAACACCGGAGGCGAAAGCGGCUCGCUGGGUCUCUUCUGACGCUGAGGCACGAA
rnacentral:rRNA from 1 species